rnacentral:rRNA from 1 species
AAAACGACUCUCGGCAACGGAUAUCCCGGCUCUCGCAUCGAUGAAGAACGUAGCGAACUGCGAUACUUGGUGUGAAUUGCAGAAUCCCGUGAACCAUCGAGUCUUUGAACGCAAGUUGCGCCCGAAGCCAUUAGGCCGAGGGCACGUCUGCCUGGGCGUCACGC